rnacentral:lncRNA from 1 species
AAGGUGUAAUUUUUUAAUGAACAUCUAUUCAUUUUGUAAUUAGAAAAAUAAAAACUCACUGUACACAUGCAUCUUAUAUACAACAUGUUAGUAUGGAUGACACCAGGGCCAAGUGAAUACCAGAGUCAAGAACCAAGAGUCAAGGCCAUAGGAGAAGAAACAAGUCAUACAGUUCAGGGGUGACAGUGGCAGGCAGGACUAUCUGACAUUCCCAGGUAGCAACAGUUUGUGGGCAUGAGGCCUCUGUGCACACUGGGUUAUAUAACACGUGCUUAUUUCAAAGGCACCAUCUAGCAUCUGAGAGGUGUUUGCCUAGAGGCCAGCCUUGGAUUCAAAUUUAGGACUUGUGGCUCUGAAGCCACAAUGUUACUGGUUGCAAAGUAAGAUACAAGAUAAAACAAUCUUAAUUAAUUAAUUUUACACUUUUAAAAAACAGCUACUAGAAAUUUUACUUUAAACCCGUGAAACUCAUUUGUGAUGCACAGGGUUUCUUGUGCUGUGGAGAUGAGACCAUCUCUGUUUGCCGAAUCAAUAAAUCUCUACAGCCGGAGCUUUAUUAAGUACUACUAUUGAAAUAAUUGGAUAAAUUUAGAUUCUCUAUUUUCCCAUUAAUCUUGGAUUAGUUUUAAUAUAUAAAAUAAUGCAAUCCUGACAUAUGUAUAAUGCUAAAUUAAGGUUCAUUUAAAAACAGACUCAGUAUGCUAAAGUGAAUCUCUCUAUUGAUCUUAUUCAUGUAAUCUUGAAAAAGUUCAUAUAUUGAAAUCUACAAAUAAAAAUUCCAUACCCUCUUUUACUGCUGCCAUUUUUACAUGCCUGCCAGGUAUUUUUUAAACCUCUCAAAAUCCUGCAAGUGAAAUCUACUUUGAGGAUUGGAACACGGAAGUCCAAAGCAGUAUCUCGCUCGGAGUCGUCUCUGGCACUGGGAUUUCACCAGGACUUUCUGAAGGGCUUUGCAGGGCACCUUGCAGCCUCCAACGUUCUCUUGCUCGUGCAGGGUGGAACGAGCUCCUCCGCAUUCUGAAAACCGCCUUUUUCAGUCAGGCAAAGAUUGUGGACCACGAUCAAAUAGACUCAUUUGUAGAACUGGGAGAACCCUCCUAAUCAUCUGACAGUUACUCUUAGAUUUCGUCUCUGAAAUCGGUUGCGAUUCCCGCUGGACGGCAGGGGGCAGCACCAGGCCGCCUCAGGGCCGGACCCGCGCGGGCGGUGCCGCCGCUUCCCCUCAGGCGGCCGGUGUGGGUGGGGCAGCCCGUGGCCUGGGCGGAGUCGGGAAGGGCCUGGCGGGCAAGAGCCUCAGACUGAGGGAAGGAGAGGGCGCCUUUCCGCGCUUCUGUUUCCCUAGAGGAAGGAAAGAAGUUGAGAAAAUUCAGAGCCAAAUGUAGAUUUUCUCGAGUGCCUCAUUCCCCACAGCGAUCUUGCUGGUAACCGGGAGUGUGUUUUUUCUGCAUCAAAUGCUCAAAUGCGGUCUUCCAAAAUGUUUCCGACUGCGGCAGGAAUUUCAAACGAAAUCCUCGGAGCUAGAAGAAGAGUUACAGAAAAUCGCGAAUUUCCAGGCAACACGCCAGGGAUUUGGGGAAGAGAACAGUAAAACGUAACAGAAAUAGCAGCUUCCUGACACGGUGGAAGUCAUCUGGCGUCUGUGACAUCGUCUUACCGACCAGCUGCCCCACUCUGGGACAUUUACAUCGCUUUGCAGUGGCCGCACUGACGGUCGACAGCUGCGCCAGGACUUAAGGCUCCAGCCUGGUCCCCUCCUUGCUUCCCAGCACUGCCUGGUCAAAUGGUGGAGGACAAAGUGGAGGCAGAAGACGGAGGCGCAGCUGACACGUGGACUAAGGGCUCUCCAGGCAUUCCGACUUCUGAAGAGGUGGCUGACAGCCUGAGCUCCAUGGAAAGGUUGGGAUAAAGAGCCUGUGUGAUUGUCUACUCCAAAUUCAUGACUUUACAGAUGGGCUUCAGCCAAUGGUUUGGGUCCCAAGCUGUUGUUAUUAUUAUUAUUAUUAUUAUCAUUAUCAUUUAAGACAGUCUCGCUCUGUCACCCAGGCUGGAGUGCAGUGGUGCGAUCUUGGCUCACUGCAGCCUCCGCCUCCCGGGUUCAAGUGAUUCUCCUGCCUCAGCCUCCCGAGUAGCUGGGAUUACAGGUGCCUGCCACCAGGCCCGGCUAAUUUUUUUGUAUUUUUAGUAGAAACGGGGUUUCACCAUGUUGGCUAGGCUGGUCUCAAACUCCUGACCUUAAGUGAUCUGCCCGCCUCGGCCUUCCAAAGUGCUGGGAUUACAGGCAUAAGCCACCGUGCCCGGCCCCAAGCUGCUUUUAGAAUGGCUUUUACUUUCUUAUAUGUAAUAGCGAAGAAUUUAAAAAUGUAAAGACAAGCCAGAUGUCAUGUUUGAAGAGGGAAAUUAAUCCCAUAAAGAGCAGCACAUCCAUGUGAUGGGGUAUUAGGAGGCCCUCAAUAGCCAAGGGUUAGCCUUUUUGAUGACAUAGAAAAAUAUGAGAUAUGAUAUUGAGUGAAAAGGGAGGUUAUAAAAUAUCAUGUGUAGUGCAAUCACAAGUGUAUGCACACACGCGGUGGAGAGAGACUGGGUGGACAGCACUAACCCAUUACCAGGGCUGUCUCCUGACUUUUAUCCUUUGGGUAUUUUUUGUGGUUUCCAAAUUUUUCAAUGCACAUUUAUUAUCUUAGGAGCAGGAAAAAACUUAUUUUUGCCAAUGAAAUAAAAAUAAAUUUGGGCCAGGCAUGGUAGCUCACUUCUGUAAUUACAGCACUUUGGGAGUCUGAGGUGGGUGGGUUGCUUGAGCCCAGGAGUUCGAGACCAGUCUAGGCAACAUGUCAAGACCUCAUCUCUACAAAAAAUUAAAACAUGAGCUGGGUAUGGUGGCAUAUGCCUGUAGUCCCAGCUACUCAGGAGGCUGAGGUGGGAGGAUUACUCGAGUCUGGGAGGUCAAUGCUGCAGUGAGCCGUGAUGACACCACUGCACUCCAGCCUGGAUGACAGAGUGAGACCCUGUCUCAACAACAAAACAAACAAGUGUGUUGGUGAAUAUUUGAAGAUAGUUUCUCAAACUAAAAGAUACCCAAAGAAAACCUUGGAAAUAUAAAAAGAAUGCAUGAAUUGAAAACAAAAAGCCAUAAUACAAGACUCUAAAGAUCUGGAAUGAAACCUAAUAAGAGACUGGUAGGUCAAAUGAGAGCAAAGCAUUUGAAUUUGACUGGAUUGUUUUCUCACUGGAAAUAGUGAUUCUAUGAGUUCACCAUUAACACAUUUUUUGACUGGAAAACUGCUAUAGGAUCCCAGGGAGGACUAAAUUUGAACAGAGGAAGUGGACAGUGUUGCAGUCUCUGUUCUAGCUCUUGCUUCUAGAAUAGGAGAGUUAAGAGCACCAAUUUGGGAUGAAGAAAGCAGAAAGCAAUUAUCGAUAUCAAUCAAGAGAGCAGAACAGCCUCUCUCCCUCCAUCCUCCCUCUGCCCUCUUCUCCCUUCCUCCUUCUCUGCUUUCCUUUCACUCUGUGUAUGUUAGCUUUGGCCCCAUUCCAUAAGCCGAGAUAAAAAUGCUAGGCAUGAUAAAUUUGUGACUGUUACUAACAUUUAGGAUUUUUUUUUUGAGAUGGAGUUUCACUCAUGUUGCCCAGGCUGGGUGCCAUGGCGCGAUCUCAGCUCACUGCAACCUCUGCCUUCCGGGUUCAAGCAAUUCUCCUGCCACAGCCUCGCAAGUAACUGGGACUACAGGCGCAUGCCACCAUGCCUGGCUAAUUUCUUUUGUAUUUUUAGCAGAGACAAGGUUUCACCGUGUUGGCCAGGAUGGUCUCGAUCUCCUGACCUUGCGAUCUGCCCACCUCAGUCUCCCAAAGCACUGGGAUUACAGGCGUGAGCCACCACACCUAGCACAUUUAGGACCGUUAUAUGGAAUUCUUCAUAUCUUCUAAGUUUUAAAAAAACAAAAUCUACCAAAUAUUAGAGAUUUAGUAGUUAAAUAAAAUCAUUAGGAAAGAGCAAAGACUUGCCCAGUUUUAGGUGGAGUAAAUUCUGGAACUUUUAAUACAAAGAUAGGCUGGGAAACUGCAAAGAUAACUUUGCGGUUCUUCUUGUAUGCAAAUCUGUGAUCAUGGAUGGAGAAGCCUGGAGGAGAAUCGGAAGGCAAGGUCAAACUUUAUGGGUUGUGAUCCAUUUGGUUCUUUCAGUAAGAAUCCACAAUUGAUAAAAUACUAGAGUUUGUGUUUCUUAGCUGAGAAUGCAGGCGCGAGGAAGUAAAAUGAUUUCUUCUCGUCAGUAGUAGAGCCACCUAACCCCAGUCUUCGGCCUCAAGCUCUUUCUGUGCUUUAUUAAAUCAGCUGCUUUUUAACAGAAAACCGACUUUGCACACCAGACUAUAAUGCAGGUCUUGCUUUGGGAAUAUUUACAUGGUAAUCUUAUAGUCACAUUAUACACUAAAUAAAUGUUAGCUGGGCCAUUUGUGUAGAAAUAUAACUUGUGCAAAAUAAAACCGUUAAUGUGUAAAACACAUGAUGGGGGAGUUUCUUGGUUUUGAGUGUCUGCCUCAAAUUAUACAGACUCAUCUGUAAAUUCCAGCUGUAUCUUUCAAAAUACAUUCAAGCUAACGUUCGGUAAAAUGAACACUUAGCAGUGGCAGUGCAUGGUUGGUCACUAGCCCACUCAAUUGUUUUGUGAGGCAGAUGAAAUAUAAAAAUAUGACAAAGAACAAAUGUUUUCCUCUCCUAUGCAGAGGUGAACUGAAGCCUGCUGCCGCCAGGGUAAUUUAUAACAUAUAUUUAUAGAAAUAAAUGGCCCGUCUGGGCAUUCAUGUGUUUCAAAU